rnacentral:rRNA from 1 species
AUUGAACGCUGGCGGCAGGCUUAACACAUGCAAGUCGAACGAGUGGCGGACGGGUGAGCAAUGCUUGUGAAUCUAGCUUAUGGAGGGGGAUAACUAAGGGAAACUAUAGCUAAUUACGUCUAACUGAGGAUGAGCCCAAGUGGGAUGAGGUAGGUGGUGAGGUAAAGGCUCACCAAGCCGACGAUCUCUAGCGGGUCUGAGAGGAUGAACAGCCACACUGGGACGGAGACCCGGCCCAGACUCCUACGGGAGGCAGCAGUGGGGAAUAUUUCGCAAUGGGGGCAACCUGACGCAGCCAUGCCGCGUGAAUGAAGAAGGCCUUCGGGUUGUAAAGUUCUUUAGGUAGCGAGGCGUUAACUACAGAAGAAGCACCGGCUAACUCCGUGCCAGCCGCCGCGGUAAUUC